UUUUUUCACUUUGGGGCUCAUAAAACCGCUAUUAGAGAGGAACCAGUGAGCUUAAGUUAAAACAACACAUCUCCUUCCGGAAAGACUCUGUAACACCGCUCUUGUCCUAGCAGACAUUCUGGAAAGACGCCGGCCACGACGCCUCCUUCUCUGUUAGGAAUUACAGGGCGGAGACAGUUCAAAAUCUAGUGAACACCACAGGGAAGUUGAUACCACUAUCAUAUCAAGUACCCCAGCAACUGCUGUUUUGUGAUACACGAAAUUUGUUUUGAACCUUCCUCUUGCCCUAGCAGUCCUUCUCUUCUCUGUUAAACGGUUCCAACACUCCCUCGCUGGCCACCACAGCUCCUUCUCCGUUAAACCGUUCCAACAGUCCCUCGCCGGCCACCACACCUCCAGCUGUGUUAAAUCGUUCCAACAGUCCCUCGCCGGUCACCACACCUCCUUCUAUUAGGUAUUUUAUGGC